UACGUAGGGUGCAAGCGUUGUCCGGAAUUAUUGGGCGUAAAGAGCUCGUAGGCGGUCUGUCGCGUCGGCUGUGAAAACCUGGGGCUUAACUCCGGGCUUGCAGCCGAUACGGGCAGACUAGAGUUCGGCAGGGGAGACUGGAAUUCCUGGUGUAGCGGUGAAAUGCGCAGAUAUCAGGAGGAACACCGGUGGCGAAGGCGGGUCUCUGGGCCGAAACUGACGCUGAGGAGCGAAAGCGUGGGGGGCAAACAGG
rnacentral:rRNA from 1 species